rnacentral:rRNA from 1 species
AUUGAACGCUGGCGGCAGGCCUAACACAUGCAAGUCGAACGAGUGGCGGACGGGUGAGUAAUGUCUGGGAAACUGCCUGAUGGAGGGGGAUCACUACUGGAAACGGUAGCUAAUACCGCAUACCAUCAGAUGUGCCCAGAUGGGCUUAGCGAGUUGGUGGGGUAACGGCUCCCCAAGGCGACGAUCCCUAGCUGGUCUGCGAGGAUGACCAGACACACUGGAACUGAGACACGGUCCAGAAUCCUACGGGAGGCAGAAGUGGGGAAUAUUGCAAAAUGGGCGAAAGCCGGAUGCAGCCAUGCCGAGUGUAGGAAGAAGGCCUUCGGGUUGUAAAGUACUUUCAGCGGGGAGGCGUUACCCGCAGAAGAAGCACCGGCUAACUCCGUGCCAGCCGCCGCGGUAAUUC